GACGAACCGUGCAAACGUUGUUCGGAAUCACUGGGCUUAAAGGGCGCGUAGGCGGGCUCACAAGUCCGGGGUGAAAGCCCCCAGCUCAACUGGGGAAGCGCCUUGGAUACUGUGGGCCUCGAGGGAGGUAGGGGCGUGCGGAACUUCCGGUGGAGCGGUGAAAUGCGUAGAUAUCGGAAGGAACACCGGUGGCGAAAGCGGCGCGCUGGACCUCUUCUGACGCUGAGGCGCGAAAGCCAGGGGAGCAAAGCGGG
rnacentral:rRNA from 1 species